GAUCCUGGCUCAGGAUGAACGCUGGCGGCGCGCCUAACACAUGCAAGUCGAACGAUUAAAGCACCUUCGGGUGUGUAUAAAGUGGCGAACGGCUGAGUAACACGUGGGCAACCUGCCCCUCUCAUUGGGAUAGCCACGGGAAACCGUGGAUAAUACCGAAUACUUCGAGUCUCCCGCAUGGAAGACUCGAGAAAGCUCCAGCGGAGAGGGAUGGGCCCGCGGCCUGUUAGCUUGUUGGUGGGGUAACGG
rnacentral:rRNA from 1 species